GGAUGUGAGGGCGAUCUGGCUGCGACAUCUGUCACCCCACUGAUCGCCAGGGUUGAUUCGGCUGAUCUGGCUAGCUAGGCGGGUGUCCCCCUCCUCCCUCAAGGAUCCAUGUGCGUCCCUCCAGAAGCUGUGCGCUCGGUCGAAGAGGACGACCUCCCCCCCUCCCCCUCCCAGGAGAGGACCGGUCUUCGGUCAAGGGUAUACGAGUAGCUGCGCUCCCCUGCUAGAACCUCCAAACAAGCUCUCAAAGUUGGAUGGGAAGGAAUAAACUCGUCAAGAAAACAGAA
rnacentral:snRNA from 1 species